ACUCCUACGGGAGGCAGCAGGCGCGAAAACUUUACAAUGCCGGCAACGGCGAUAAGGGGACCUCGAGUGCCAGGUUACAAAUCUGGCUGUCGUGAUGCCUAAAAAGCAUUGCAUAGCAAGGGCCGGGCAAGACCGAUGCCAGCCGCCGCGGUAACACCGGCGGCUCGAGUGGUAACCGUUAUUAUUGGGUCUAAAGGGUCUGUAGCCGGCCGGAUAAGUYUCUUGAGAAAUCCAGCAGCUCAACUGUUGGGCUUUCAGGAGAUACUGUUCGGCUCGAGGCCGGGAGAGGUGAGAGGUACUUCAGGGGUAGGGGUGAAAUCUUGUAAUCCUUGGGGGACCACCUGUGGCGAAGGCGUCUCACCAGAACGGACCUGACGGCAAGGGACGAAAGCUAGGGGCACGAACCGGAUUAGAUACCCGGGUAGUCCUAGCCGUAAACGAUACUCGCUAGGUGUCGGCCACGGUGCGACCGUUGUCGGUGCCGUAGAGAAGCCGUGAAGCGUGCCACCUGGGAAGUACGGCCGCAAGGCUGAAACUUAAAGGAAUUGACGG
rnacentral:rRNA from 1 species